rnacentral:rRNA from 1 species
CACCGGCAGCUCAAGUGGUAGCCAUUUUUAUUGGGCCUAAAGCGUUCGUAGCCGGUUUGAUAAGUCUCUGGUGAAAUCCCACAGCUUAACUGUGGGAAUUGCUGGAGAUACUAUUAGACUUGAGGUCGGGAGAGGUUAGCGGUACUCCCAGGGUAGGGGUGAAAUCCUGUAAUCCUGGGAGGACCACCUGUGGCGAAGGCGGCUAACUGGAACGAACCUGACGGUGAUGGACGAAAGCCAGGGGCGCGAACCGG